rnacentral:rRNA from 1 species
UACGUAGGGUGCGAGCGUUGCCCGGAUUUAUUGGGCGUAAAGGGCGCGUAGGCGGUGAGAUGCGUCCGUUGUGAAAUCGCCCGGCUCAACUGGGCGGGGUCAGCGGAUACGGUCUCACUUGAGCAAGCUAGGGGGCAAUGGAAUUCCCGGUGUAGUGGUGGAAUGCGUAGAUAUCGUAAGGAAGACCAGUGGCGAAGGCGGGUCUCUGGACAGUUCCUGACGCUGAGGCACGAAGGUCAGGGGAGCAAACGGG